GGCUCCCACUACCCAGAAAAGUGCAUAUUUAAAAAGAAGAAUUUCAAAUAUAUGCAAAACAAUAAUACUGUUAUAUAGUUAACAUGAUUCCUCAUCUUUUAUUUAAAACUUUCCACAAACUAAUAGUGUUUUUAAAUCUUCAUACUGGCCUCUAGUGUUCCACUUUAUUUGAAUGUCGGUAGUUUCGUCUUUCAAUUUUUCGAAAUUUUGGUCAUCCUGCACAAUUGUUAUGAUAUACAAUAUUCUGUCCAUCCAUUUUUUAGUAGGUACAUUAACUCGAACUUCUUAAACCCAUUAUCCUGAACUACUAAGAAAUGAAUUUGACAUAGGGAAUUUUCAGUUCUUCUUUAAUGUUUUUGGAUUCUAUUAAUAUCUCCGGCAAUUUUU
rnacentral:lncRNA from 1 species